GGCAGAAGAGGAGAUGAGGGAGGUUCGGUGCCCAGCCCAGGGCUGCCAUCCGUGACCCGAGGCUAAGGAGUCCCAGAGGCAGGCUCUCUUCCUGUGCAUCUCAGCUGCAUCCCAGCUUCCCUGUCCCACGGCCCACGAGGACAACCGUAAUCACAAACACCGCCCACAGCAGGCAGGUCAGGUGAUGGGCGGCUCCUCUUCCACCCCUGGGGCCUUUCUGGACUGUCCUCACUAGUAAAACAUGGGGCCCAAGUUCCCAGGGACCCCAUGGCCAGAGAUGCUGGGGAGGCCAGAGAAGGUGGGCAGAGGUGGCAGAGAUGAAAAGUCCGGGGGCAAGAGGGGGGAGAAUUUGCCAUGCAGUGGCUAGCCAGAGUGUCUGCUGUCAGUGAGCUGCACCGAUCUACAGCUCCCCGGGAUGACCCCAGACCCCAGGCAGGGGAUCAGAUGUUUCUGUUCUCAGCUGUGUCCCUGCAGACUCGCGGCCCUCCCAGGAGACACCCACCCUGAGACCCACCCCGGCCCUCGUCCUGCCUGGGCCACCCCAAUGGUCAGGACUUGGGUUAGGAGCCCUAUCCCUCAGUCCCCAGCGAGCCUGUUCAUUCCCCAAGCCUGGCCUACGGUUCUCCCUAGGCUGACCCCAGCCAGCUUCCUCUUGAGCUCACAGUUCAGAGAUCCUAGUUUGGCCUUCCCAGAGCUUACAGCCCCAGGAUCGCAGCAGAGAGAUCACAGCAGAGCAGCCACGGGGCACCUGCCCCACGCUCACAGCCCAGGCCCUGGGAGGACGAUGGAAAGAAGCCUUGGAGCCUGGUCAGAAGGACCUGCCUGGAACCCCACCAUUCACCCGGCCUCCUGGGGUAAAGGUCUGGAACCCCACCAUUCACCUGGCCUCCUUGGGUAAAGGCAGUGCUAGAUUACAGCUGUUGCGGAGAGAUCAGAUUCCCCAAACAUGCUUCAAAGGAAAAAAGAGUCAAGGGGUCAAAUACAGUUUCAAAUGCUGUGAAAAGCACGUUAAAGGCUCCGAGAAGACCACAUGGAAGGACCCCUUUCAGCGUCACUUAAUUCCCACGCCUAUUCCGCAAAGCCGUGAAGGUCUACUGUUUCACAGAACAUUCUCCAGGGAUCGGAUUCAAAUCAUGGGAUCCUGGACCCACCACAUGGUCACGGUGCAGCCUGAGCAGCGAGUGAAGCUCGCCAGACCUCUGGAAAGCAGGGCCAGUGAAGGUGCCCAGCCCUGGGGCUGCAGGGACCCCCUGGGCCCUGACCCGACUUUAGGGUUCUUCACCACCUAAAAGACGACACUGUAUCAACUUGGUGACAUAGUAUCUUCGUCCCUGCCAGAAGGGCCUGGGGGCUAGACUACACUUGCGCUUUCUCUGGAGCUUUCUCUGCUUCCGGGAGCCAAGGAUGCAGCCAGACAGGGCCCAGCAGGAGCCCAGGGACCAAGCAGGCCUCGCUGUGUCCCCUGAACAGCCCGGCUUGGCCAAGCCUCUGGAGGGGGAGCUGCUUCCCUCAGCAUGGCCACACGCCCUGUCUGCCUCCAUCUCCAGCCGGUCACCACCCAGCCCAGUCCUCCAGCCCUCCUGGUCCUCCCAGCAGCCUCCUGACUCCCGGUUAAUAUUCUGUCCUCCUCCUCCAGACACAGCCCACCAUGGAGACGGUGGCCAGGUGCCACUCCACCCAGGCACCACUUACCUGGG